GAGAUGGUGUUGUGUCUUCUGUCAUGUAGGCCGCAGUAUGGACUUAAUGCGGAAGACUCGAGAACAUUUACCAGUGUGUCUGUAAGAUACAUUCAUCUGACGUGCAGAGAAGUCACACAGCACUAAGCAGUGCAGCCAGCUUUAUGAGAGACAUUGUGUCACGUAAUGAUGUGACAGUGGUGUGAAUAUUAUCUUUUGCAACAUGUACUUUGUACUCUCCCAACCUGGAGGAUAAAUAAAGAAUUAUGUCGUCUACUAUUACCAGUAUCCAGCGCGUGGUCAGCUGAUGGAGACGACUUCGAACCGGAGUUAUCUACAUUCUUUUUUCUCGGCAAGGCAUGAGUUGAGAAAUAUUCCUCAUCGCAGUGCGUCCUAAACUACAAACUCUCGCAGUGUUCAGGAGUCCGGUUUCCAUACCCCGUUACAUCUCGAGACUUAUCCAUACCAGUAAAACUGAAAAUAAACAGACCAGGAAUAUAAAUAUCUAUCUGGUAUAGACCUUUAUCGAAGGGCACUCUCUUCCUCGUCAUUUGACUCCAGCAUGUGAACCAGUGUACUUGGUGUGUAUGUUCCGGAUUCGACUUCUCCCAGUCUCUAGGAGCCAGUGAUACUUGGCCAUCCUACUUGCUUGGGGCGUCUGUCUGUUUCUUCAUACAUCUGUAAGUGGGUAUAACAAAAUGUCGAAGCUACUUUCUAAAAGUCUUGUUCACGUUGGUGACAGACGUGGCCAGAAGCCGGCGCUACGGCGUGUAUCCUCGCCAACAGUUGCGACAUAGCCCUGACUGUAUGUCUGUCAGUCUCAGUCUGACACUGGCGCUUUGUGUUUGAGACAGACAAAAUAUAGAAGUGUCAGUGUGUAUCGCCGGAGACCCUAUCUAUCAUUGUUGGCCAGACUUACAGCGACAUGGACGCUGUUUCACCUGUGUUCUUGUGGCGUUUUUGCGAGUCCAGGUGUGUUUUGCCAGACAGGCGGAGUUCGUUAAUUUCUGGUAAUGGCCCCUCUCUCCAUUCAAACGGGUGACUGGUUAGAGCAGGGGUGAUCUCUGGGCUCCGCAGGUGACAUAUGGGGUAGAAGUGCUUGGUCUUACAACGUCUCCAAGUUUCAAUCAAGAGUACUGCUGAAUAGUUCUAACACGGGAAUAGAGUCGACUAUUAUCCCCCACCCAUACUGCUGAUACAGCUAGUACGUUUAUAUAGCAGGUGGAUAUAACUAACACCAGACUGUUUUGUGUCAGGUACAAAACAUAAGAAAUAAAACUUUAUCCUGAUAAUU